CCUACGGGUGGCUGCAGUGAGGAAUAUUGGUCAAUGGGCGAGAGCCUGAACCAGCCAAGUCGCGUGAGGGAAGACGGUCCUAUGGAUUGUAAACCUCUUUUGCCGGGGAGCAAAACGCGGUACGUGUACCGCAUCGAGAGUACCCGGAGAACAAGCAUCGGCUAACUCCGUGCCAGCAGCCGCGGUAAUACGGAGGAUGCGAGCGUUAUCCGGAUUUACUGGGCGUAAAACGAGCGCAGGCGGGUUAACAAGUUUGGUAUGAAAGGCUUUUGCUUAACGAAAGUUUGUAUCAAAAACUGUUAAUCUAGAGUGUAGUAGAGAGUUCUGGAAUUCCAUGUGGAGCGGUGGAAUGCGUAGAUAUAUGGAAGAACACCAGUGGCGAAGGCGAGAACUUAGGCUAUCACUGACGCUUAGGCUCGAAAGUGUGGGGAGCAAAUAGGAUUAGAUACCCCUGUAGUC
rnacentral:rRNA from 1 species